rnacentral:rRNA from 1 species
GGCAAACUGCUCAGUAACACGUCGAUAACCUGCCCUUAAGUCUGGAAUAACCUUGGGAAACUGAGGAUAAAACCGGAUAAGGAAAUCCUACUGGAAGGUGGAUUUCUUAAAAAGCAAUGCUUAAGGGUGGGUCGGCGGCGGAUUAGGUUGUUGGCGAGGUAAUGGCUCACCAAGCCGAAGAUCCGUAGGGGCCUUGAAAGAGGUAGCCCCGAGAAGGGCACUGAGAUACAGGCCCUAGCUCCACGGAGUGCAGCAGGCGCGAAACCUUCGCAAUGCACGCAAGUGUGACGAGGGAAUCCUGAGCGAUAAUGUUUUACAUUAUCUUUUGCCAAGAGCAAAUAUCUUGGCGAAUAAGUGGUGGGCAAUACCUGUGCCAGCCGCCGCGGUAACCCAGGAACCACAAGUGGCAACCACCUUUAUUUGGCCUAAAGCGUCCGUAGCCGGUUUUGUAAAUUUCCUGUGAAAUCGUUGCGCUUAACGUAACGACGCGCAGGAAAAACUGCAAGACUAGGGACCGGGAGGAGUCAGAGGUAUUUUGGGGGUAGCGGUAAAAUGCUAUAAUCCCCGAAGGACCACCUGUGGUGAAGACGUCUGACUAGAACGGAUUCGACGGUGAGGGACGAAAGCUAGGGGAGCAAUCCGGAUUAGAUACCCGAGUAGUCCUAGCCAUAAACUCUGCGAGUUAGGUGUUGCAUAAUCUUCGGGAUUGUGCAGUGUCGUAGUGAAGACGAUAAACUCGCCCCUGGGGAGUACGGUCGCAAGGCUGAAACUUAAGGGAAUUGGCGGGGGAGCACUACAAGGGGUGCGGCGUGCGGUUUAAUCCAAUUCAACACGGAGAAUCUCACCAGGAGCGACGGCAGGAUGAAGGACAGUCUAAAGGGCUUUCCUAACGAGCCGAGAGGUAGUGCAUGGCCGUCGUCAGCUCGUGCCGUAAGGUGUCUUGUUAAGUCAAGCAACGAGCGAGACCUGUAUUUACAAUUGCUAACGAGAACAGCAAUGUUUGAUUGAGCACAUUGUAAGGACUGCCCGUGAAAACGGGAGGAAGGCGCAGGCAACGGUAGGUCUGUAUGCUCCGAAUCUUCUGGGCUACACGCGCGCAACAAUGGUAGGUACAAUGGGAUGCAACGCCGAAAGGCGAAGCUAAUCCUCGAAAACCUAUCCUAGUCCAGAUUGUGGGUUGUAACUCACCCACAUGACGUUGGAAUCCCUAGUAAUCAGACUUUAGCAGAGUCCGGUGAAUAUGUCCCUGCUCCUUGCACACACCGCCCGUCAAACCACCCGAGCAGGGUUUAGAUGAGGUCCAAUUUUUAAUUGGUUCGAAUCUAAGCUCAGCGAGGAGGGUUAAGUCGUCACAAGGUA